UGCGUGCUCUCUUGCACUCACGCGCUCUCAAAUAAAUAAAUAAACACAUGAAAAUCUUUAGAGUUUCUUUCUCCAAAGUAAAUAUACUCCCGGGGGGCUAUGCUGAGGAUAAAUAACUGUAAAUACAUGAAAUGAGAAAGAAAGGUGUUUAAAAUCAUUCUUGACACAUAGUAAAUGUCUUUUAAAAUUAUAUACAAAGCCUAUUUGUGGAAUUAAACUGAAUUGUCAUCCAACGUGAGGAGAAGGUAAAAUAGUGUUUUGUGAACAUUUUUGCUGCAAAUCACAACUAAAUUUCACAAUAUAACCCGGUAAGAGCUCACAUUUCAUGAAACCGUAUUAGCCUUCUCCAUGUGAUGUGGCACUGACAUGUCAUUUGCUUUUAAUGCUGGUGGUGACCCACCAAAUUCAUCUCACAACCAACUAAUGAAUCAUAACCCUCAGUGUGAAAAACACUGAGUGAAUUCAUAACACACUGGAGGUUAUCACAAGGACCACGUUUCUGUAAGAGCCUCCAGGACAUCUAUAAAGAGCUGUUUUCAUGUUCUGUCUCCCAUAAGGUAUAAACCACCAGGAAAACAAGGCUCUGCCAGGCAGGAGCCCGGACGAGACCUCCCUGCUCCACAGACGUGGACACCGCACGUGAACAGAGCAGAGGAAGCAGCUCCGAACAUGAAGGUGCCAGUGGACGCCACGGGGGAGGGGGUUCUACAGUCUGCUGGGCCGGGGACACCCGCUUUCUCAAGGAUCAAACCUUAGGGUCAACCUUCACGCCACACUUCUAUUUCUCUUCCUCAGUCACCUACUGUGGGAAAACAAAGUCAUCUACAGAGACAAAAAGCCACAGAAGCAGGAAAAGGAGGCCUUCUGUGGCCACACGAGGCACGUGCUGCCCGGGGCAGGGCAGGGCCACAGAGACUGGCUCCCGAAGACUCGAGACCUGCCCACUCCACUCAGCGGAUCUCCUUCCCUGAGAGCCUCCCAAUGCCUGCUCUGCAGGAUUCACACUCACAGAAUGUCGGUGCUCAGAGCCCUGUGAGAGGUCAGGAUUCUGAACCCAGCCCCCUCUCACAGAUCGAGAGUCCCAGAGAGGUUCAAGGACUUGCCCUACUGUGCACCCCGCCUCCAAGUAACGGAUGUGCUCUCCAGAACGGAGGAAGUCUAUAGCUUAGUUUCCUUUUUCACUCUGCCUAGCCCAGAGCAAUGUAAAAGAGAAGGCACUAAAUAAACACUCGGUGCUGAAUUUCAAAAAUAUCCACGCUUCCACCUACACCAAAACGUCCACUGUGAAUGUUAUCUCAACAUGGAUGUGUCUUAAGCACACAGCCUUAACAUGUCUUAUUUACCGCACAUUACAGGUAGAUCCAAAGACUAGGUAAUCUGUAAGCCUCUGUAGGUAUCCCCAUGACACUUUACAUUUAUCCAGUGCUUUGCAACACACUAGAGAAGUUGUUGUUUCAUUCGAGUCUCACAAGAGCUCCCAGUAGGAAGCCUGAGAGAUCGUCCUCACGUUACACAGGAGGAAGUGGGGGAGGCUCCGAAAACUUGGGCUUCCUUUCCUUGUGUUUGGCCUGUAAGCAGGGGAUAUGGGGUUCAACCCCUAUCUGGGGUCAAAUUCAAAGCCCUUUGCCCUAUAUCGUGACACUUCAGAUGCCCAAAGAUUUUCCUUGAAUAGGAAAGUCUGUGCUUCUCAGAUUUCUCCUGUAGCAUACAUAAAAGAAAAUUAAAGAAACUUAUUUUUUUCCUUCCCAGAACGUGAAGGCUUACAAACCCCUGCACUAUUGUUUGCCCUACAAGAGCUUAAUGCAUACCUGAAACUCUUUCUUGCUCCAAGAGCUUAGUGUAAAGAUUGAAUAUCUGUUCCUGGACUUUGCACACAGACCGCUUAAUCUUUUCCCUGCGGGUCACCAUGUAAGUGAGGUUCCGAACCUAGAACGUAGAGAAUAAAGACGCUAAGUAAGCAACACAUUAAUGGUACUUUGGUGUUUUGUUCUUUACCCGAGAUUGUGUCCUACUAGGGCCGUGAGUGACAUCUGAAAUCAAGGUGUACUUCAACAUUUUAUCCCAUCUCUCAACUACUUUUGGGCUGCUAACUAGGAUUCCACACACACCCCUCCAUGGAGGCAGCAGCAACGUGGAAGAGAGAUUGGAGGGGGACCUCAAACGAAAGCCCUGCCUCCUCCAUCACACCCAGCCAGAGGCUCAUCCCAGCAGAGAAGACCACUGGGGUCCAAGUCCAGACGUACCACCUCUUGACCAAGGACUCUGCUUACCACCCCUCCGUAGCCGCUCCCCAUGAAUUCUAUGAUGGAAGGCCUUCGAGCAGUUCAGAAGCCACUUUAUCAAGCAGCUCCUGAGGAUGGAAUUAGGGAAGCACAGUGUCAAGGCCCAUCAGAGGAGCACCCCUCCCCCACCCUCCGCCCAAAAUUAUCACUGCACCGAGCCCACGAGAGGACCAAACGGGCACCAAGAAUCCAAGGAAAAUUCUUUGUCAACUGGACAGUAUCUGAAAUGUGUGGAGCUCACCGGUAGCUAACGUGUUCCUCUAGGACGUAAAGCGAGGAAGUCUCCUCGCUCUGCCAUUGCCGUGCUGUCAACAUCUCAAGUCCAACUCCCUGUAUCACCACCCCCAACUGCCACAUUCAUUUGUAAGAAACUAAAAAGACCCAAGUGCUAAGAGCUCCACUUUGUAUCUGACUGCAGUCACUGGUGACCCCACAUAGAUGCCCACUACCCAAUACUAACUCAUCGACCCCUAAAUUUGUUCCCCAUUUUUAAAGCCACCUGUGACCAGUUGAUACAAAAACAGACUAGUCAAUAAAUGCCCUUAAAUCCUCAGUCCCCAAACCUACUGGGAAACCGGACUAGAUUGCACGCGCCUGAAAACUCAAAUGUCAAAUGCAACACCCCAGAGCUACAAUAAACCUCUCCAGAAGAUGAAGACCAAAACCCCAGAACAGUUCAGCAGUGGGAGUACAGGGCCUCUGUCCCAGGCAUGAUGACACUCCCCUCAAAACGUUUCCGGAGGCACGGGCGACCCCUUUCCCUGCCACCUUGACCAUACAAGCUGAAGGGUCCCCGACCUCUUACGUAAGGAAGGAUGGCAAUGAGCCCCACACACAGGACUCUGCACUUUUGGCUUCUGUGCAAGCACCUCCCCGAAGGUUUCCAGUCCUUUCUGAACCCUAAGCGUUCCAGCCCUUGUCCCGUGUUCACGGCUGUCUUGUCUGCAAGAGGACAGGAGGCAUAGACAGGAACAGGCUGGCUGGCUGGCUCACACAUUUGCAUCAUGGCGGAGUUUCCGGGCCUAACACAGGAGAACCCAAUCAGGCUUCUGCUGACCCUCAUCAACUCGCCGACUACUUAGGAUCCUCCUGACAGCUCUUCCUAAUGUAUAGACAUGUGUGCGCUUGCCUGUGUAAUCUUGGAAUUAAAGAAUUGAGAAGAAAAUCA